rnacentral:rRNA from 1 species
GUCGAGAAUAAUUCACAAUGGGGGAAACCCUGAUGGUGCAACGCCGCGUGGAGGAUAAGGUCUUCGGAUUGUAAACUCCUGUCAUCUGGGAGUAAGACCUGACGGUGAAUAGCCGGCAGGGUUGAUAGUACCAGAAGAGGAAGGGACGGCUAACUUCGUGCCAGCAGCCGCGGUAAUACGAAGGUCCCAAGCGUUGUUCGGAAUCACUGGGCGUAAAGGGAGCGUAGGCGGCGUGGUAAGUCAGAUGUGAAAUCCCGGGGCGCAACCACGGAACUGCAUCCGAUACUGCCAUGCUUGAGGGUUGGAGAGGUAGCUGGAAUUCUCGGUGUAGCAGUGAAAUGCGUGGAUAUCGAGAGGAACACUCGUGGCGAAGGCGAGCUACUGGACAACAUCUGACGCUGAGGCUCGAAGGCCAGGGGAGCAAAAGGGAUUAGAUACCCUGGUAGUCC